rnacentral:rRNA from 1 species
AGAGUUUGAUCCUGGCUCAGAUUGAACGCUGGCGGCAUGCCUUACACAUGCAAGUCGAACGGUAACAGGGAGCUUGCUCCGCUGACGAGUGGCGAACGGGUGAGUAAUACAUCGGAACGUGCCCAGUAAUGGGGGAUAGCUCGGCGAAAGCCGGAUUAAUACCGCAUACGCCCUGAGGGGGAAAGUGGGGGACCGCAAGGCCUCACGUUAUUGGAGCGGCCGAUGGCUGGUUAGCUAGUUGGUAGGGUAAAGGCCUACCAAGGCGACGAUCAGUAGCUGGUCUGAGAGGACGAUCAGCCACACUGGGACUGAGACACGGCCCAGACUCCUACGGGAGGCAGCAGUGGGGAAUUUUGGACAAUGGGGGAAACCCUGAUCCAGCAAUGCCGCGUGUGCGAAGAAGGCCUUCGGGUUGUAAAGCACUUUUGUCAGGGAAGAAAUCCUUUGGGCUAAUACCCUAGGGGGAUGACGGUACCUGAAGAAUAAGCACCGGCUAACUACGUGCCAGCAGCCGCGGUAAUACGUAGGGUGCAAGCGUUAAUCGGAAUUACUGGGCGUAAAGCGUGCGCAGGCGGUUGUGUAAGACAGGUGUGAAAUCCCCGGGCUUAACCUGGGAAUUGCAUUUGUGACUGCACGACUAGAGUGUGUCAGAGGGGGGUGGAAUUCCACGUGUAGCAGUGAAAUGCGUAGAUAUGUGGAGGAACACCAAUGGCGAAGGCAGCCCCCUGGGAUAACACUGACGCUCAUGCACGAAAGCGUGGGGAGCAAACAGAAUUAGAUACCCUGGUAGUCCACGCCCU